rnacentral:rRNA from 1 species
AAAUUGAAGAGUUUGAUCAUGGCUCAGAUUGAACGCUGGCGGCAGGCCUAACACAUGCAAGUCGAGCGGUAGCACAGAGAGCUUGCUCUCGGGUGACGAGCGGCGGACGGGUGAGUAAUGUCUGGGAAACUGCCUGAUGGAGGGGGAUAACUACUGGAAACGGUAGCUAAUACCGCAUAAUGUCGCAAGACCAAAGUGGGGGACCUUCGGGCCUCAUGCCAUCAGAUGUGCCCAGAUGGGAUUAGCUAGUAGGUGGGGUAACGGCUCACCUAGGCGACGAUCCCUAGCUGGUCUGAGAGGAUGACCAGCCACACUGGAACUGAGACACGGUCCAGACUCCUACGGGAGGCAGCAGUGGGGAAUAUUGCACAAUGGGCGCAAGCCUGAUGCAGCCAUGCCGCGUGUGUGAAGAAGGCCUUCGGGUUGUAAAGCACUUUCAGCGGGGAGGAAGGCGUUAAGGUUAAUAACCUUGGCGAUUGACGUUACCCGCAGAAGAAGCACCGGCUAACUCCGUGCCAGCAGCCGCGGUAAUACGGAGGGUGCAAGCGUUAAUCGGAAUUACUGGGCGUAAAGCGCACGCAGGCGGUCUGUCAAGUCGGAUGUGAAAUCCCCGGGCUCAACCUGGGAACUGCAUUCGAAACUGGCAGGCUAGAGUCUUGUAGAGGGGGUAGAAUUCCAGGUGUAGCGGUGAAAUGCGUAGAGAUCUGGAGGAAUACCGGUGGCGAAGGCGGCCCCUGGACAAAGACUGACGCUCAGGUGCGAAAGCGUGGGGAGCAAACAGGAUUAGAUACCCUGGUAGUCCACGCCGUAAACGAUGUCGAUUUGGAGGUUGUGCCCUUGAGGCGUGGCUUCCGGAGCUAACGCGUUAAAUCGACCGCCUGGGGAGUACGGCCGCAAGGUUAAAACUCAAAUGAAUUGACGGGGGCCCGCACAAGCGGUGGAGCAUGUGGUUUAAUUCGAUGCAACGCGAAGAACCUUACCUGGUCUUGACAUCCACAGAACUUUCCAGAGAUGGAUUGGUGCCUUCGGGAACUGUGAGACAGGUGCUGCAUGGCUGUCGUCAGCUCGUGUUGUGAAAUGUUGGGUUAAGUCCCGCAACGAGCGCAACCCUUAUCCUUUGUUGCCAGCGGUUAGGCCGGGAACUCAAAGGAGACUGCCAGUGAUAAACUGGAGGAAGGUGGGGAUGACGUCAAGUCAUCAUGGCCCUUACGACCAGGGCUACACACGUGCUACAAUGGCAUAUACAAAGAGAAGCGACCUCGCGAGAGCAAGCGGACCUCAUAAAGUAUGUCGUAGUCCGGAUUGGAGUCUGCAACUCGACUCCAUGAAGUCGGAAUCGCUAGUAAUCGUAGAUCAGAAUGCUACGGUGAAUACGUUCCCGGGCCUUGUACACACCGCCCGUCACACCAUGGGAGUGGGUUGCAAAAGAAGUAGGUAGCUUAACCUUCGGGAGGGCGCUUACCACUUUGUGAUUCAUGACUGGGGUGAAGUCGUAACAAGGUAACCGUAGGGGAACCUGCGGUUGGAUCACCUCCUUA